GUCCUUAAACAAACAAACAAACAGAGCAUUUGGGAGGCUUAAUCUUCUUCUAACUUCUAGUUAGGGAAGGUAACAGUAAAAAAAUGUUUUUCUUUCCUCUAUGAGUUCAAAGAACACUUUAUCAUUGAAUAUGGAGAUGCCAGACAGUUUAAUGUGCAAUAUUUGGUUUUAAUGCAGAAAUUUGUGGUUUCGUCAGAUUUAUAAAUUGAUUUCAGGAAAUAUGGGAUUUCCAAAUGAUUUACCUUUGUUUUCUGCUAACAUUACUUAUAUUGUGACUUUUAAUCUUUUCUGGAUUAAUACUAUAAAUUACAUUUUAAUACAUAUAGAAUACUUUGUGUUUAGAAUUUUUCAGUGUUGUCCAUUGGGUGAAUACGAUCAUUUUUUCUGAUACAGUUAGUGCUUAUUUUAGCCUUGUCUUGAUACUUCACAAUAACUGUAAAAAGCAAAGAAUUGGACAAAGAAAGGGCUGCAGAUGUUUCCAAUACCUUGACCCCUUAAACGAAAGCUGACAUUUAAUUGUUGUUUGUAGCAUUUUUUUCAUGCAGUUUACAUUGAAAUACCUUUUCGAAUGUGCUCCUGGGAAGAUGAGACAUUAUGUAUGUUGGUUUCUCCCCCUACAUGCACUAAUGGUUCUUUACUGUUAACUUAUUGCUAGGCCUGUUUCAUUCUAACAUCUUAGCAUUUUUGUUAGACUACAUGUUGAAAUGCAUCACUCAGUCUGUGCUUGAGCUCAUUUUAUUUUUCUGUUUAAUCAACUUAAUUUCUUGUUUUACUAACCUCACUGUUUUUUCAGUUUAAUAUUGGCUGCAUGCUAGUUAAAUAUUUAUAUUAUAUAUAUUAUUAUUAUUUUUUUAAACCAAUCAAGUCUAGCCUGGAUUUUGCUCUGAUUGUUUUUUCAUUUCUAGUGGUGGGGCAGUCUUACACUUAUAACUUACUUUGUAUCAUGAAAGCCUGACACAUAAACAAAACAACUAAACACAGUGUAGAUUUUCUUUAAAAAAAAAAAAUCUUAAAGUGGUGCUGUUUAGGUGGUGGAUAUGACUGUAUAAGUACCUUGAUUUUAUGCUUUUUAGUGUUAUUUUAAAACUUCAUAAAUGUAUUCUUCCCCUUUUCCCUUUCCCCUUUUUCUCCAUUUAAAAAUGUUAUAUACAAAAGUUGCCCAACACACCAUCAGAAAGGACCCUUACCCCAUAUGUUCUUCCCAUGUAAAAUACUAGCCAGCUUUUCUUUUUACAUUAAUGUCCCUCUUAUUGGGCACAUUUACCCUAUUAUUAGCACCUUUUUGCAUGCAUAUAUGUAGAAGUAUCUCUUGCUCAUCAUCUGUUUAAAUGUCUCUAGGAAGGGAAGAAUAUAUUAUUGGAAUAUUUUUGGUUUGUCUCUCUGUUCUGUCUGUCAGGAUAAUAUUGGACACCGCUUACUCCAGAAACAUGGGUGGAAGCUGGGCCAGGGAUUGGGAAAAUCUCUUCAGGCAUUAUGAUCCUGGACUUGUUGUGGUGAUGGUAAUCUUAGCAGUGGGAGAACAGAUCCCAUUCCAAUCGUUGUCAAGUAUGAUGUCAUGGGCAUGGGUCGCAUGGAAAUGGAGCUUGAUUAUGCUGAAGAUGCUACCGAACGGCGCCGUGUCCUAGAAGUAGAAAAAGAAGACACAGAAGAGCUGAGACAAAAGUACAAGGAUUAUGUUGACAAAGAGAAGGCAAUUGCCAAAGCCUUGGAAGACCUCAGAGCCAACUUUUAUUGUGAACUGUGUGAUAAGCAAUAUCAGAAACAUCAGGAAUUUGAUAACCAUAUCAACUCCUAUGAUCAUGCACACAAGCAGAGAUUAAAAGAUCUGAAGCAGAGAGAGUUUGCUCGAAAUGUCUCUUCAAGAUCCCGCAAGGAUGAGAAAAAACAGGAAAAAGCCCUUCGGCGGCUCCAUGAGUUGGCAGAGCAAAGAAAACAAGCUGAAUGUGCACCUGGAAGUGGUCCCAUGUUCAAACCAACCACAGUGGCUGUAGAUGAAGAAGGUGGAGAAGAUGAUAAAGAUGAAUCAGCUACAAAUAGUGGCACAGGUGCCACUGCUUCUUGUGGCCUGGGAUCUGAAUUCUCCACAGAUAAAGGAGGCCCUUUCACUGCAGUACAAAUCACUAAUACCACUGGACUGGCCCAGGCUCCUGGGUUAGCCUCCCAAGGCAUCAGCUUUGGCAUUAAGAAUAAUCUGGGGACCCCAUUGCAAAAAUUGGGAGUGUCAUUUUCUUUUGCCAAGAAGGCUCCUGUCAAACUCGAAUCAAUAGCAUCAGUUUUCAAGGACCAUGCGGAAGAAGGGACCUCUGAAGAUGGAACAAAACCCGAUGAGAAGGGUUCUGACCAAGGACUGCAGAAGGUAGGAGACUCUGAUGGGAGCAGUAAUCUUGAUGGUAAAAAAGAGGAUGAAGACCCUCAGGAUGGAGGGUCCCUUGCCUCAACAUUAUCCAAAUUAAAAAGGAUGAAACGAGAAGAAGGAGCUGGGGCUACAGAGCCUGAGUAUUACCACUACAUCCCCCCAGCACACUGCAAAGUAAAACCUAAUUUUCCCUUUCUACUUUUUAUGAGAGCCAGUGAACAAAUGGAUGGUGAUAAUACUACACACCCAAAGAAUGCCCCAGAGAGUAAAAAAGGCAGUUCUCCCAAGCCUAAAAGCUGCAUCAAGGCGGCAGCAAGCCAAGGAGCAGAAAAGACAGUUAGUGAAGUCUCUGAGCAGCCGAAGGAAACCAGCAUGACCGAGCCCUCAGAACCAGGAAGCAAAGCUGAGGCAAAGAAGGCCUUAGGAGGGGAUGUAAGUGAUCAGAGUUUAGAAAGUCAUAGUCAGAAGGUUUCAGAGACCCAAAUGUGUGAGUCCAACUCUUCUAAAGAAACCUCUCUGGCCACCCCAGCAGGGAAAGAAAGCCAAGAAGGACCCAAACAUCCUACUGGUCCCUUCUUCCCAGUUUUGAGCAAAGAUGAAAGCACUGCCCUCCAGUGGCCAUCAGAACUAUUAAUUUUCACCAAGGCAGAACCCUCCAUUUCAUACAGUUGUAACCCUUUAUAUUUUGACUUUAAACUUUCAAGGAACAAAGAUGCCAGAACUAAAGGAACAGAAAAACCAAAGGAUAUAGGAAGCUCCUCAAAGGACCAUCUCCAAGGCCUAAAUCCUGGUGAGCCAAAUAAAAACAAGGAAGUGGGCGGAGAGAAAAUAGUACGUUCCUCAGGAGGCAGAAUGGACGCACCUGCUUCAGGGUCUGCCUGUAGCGGCCUGAACAAGCAGGAGCCUGGGGGUAGCCAUGGGUCUGAGACAGAAGACACAGGGAGAAGCCUUCCCAGCAAGAAAGAACGAUCUGGGAAGUCCCACCGGCACAAAAAGAAAAAGAAGCACAAAAAAUCCAGCAAACACAAACGUAAACACAAGGCUGACACAGAAGAGAAAAGCUCUAAGGCAGAGUCAGGGGAGAAAUCUAAGAAGCGCAAGAAACGAAAACGAAAGAAGAAUAAGUCAUCAGCCCCAGCAGAUUCUGAACGAGGACCCAAACCAGAACCCCCUGGGAGUGGCAGUCCCGCACCACCAAGAAGAAGGCGGCGAGCUCAAGAUGACUCCCAGCGGAGAUCCCUCCCAGCUGAAGAGGGGAGCAGUGGCAAAAAGGAUGAAGGUGGGGGUGGUAGCAGCUCCCAAGACCAUGGUGGGAGGAAACACAAAGGUGAACUUCCACCUUCAUCCUGCCAGCGAAGAGCAGGCACCAAACGGAGCAGCCGGUCUAGCCAUCGGAGCCAACCCAGUAGUGGAGAUGAGGAUAGUGAUGAUGCUUCCUCACACCGGCUGCACCAGAAGUCUCCAUCCCAGUACAGUGAGGAAGAAGAAGAGGAAGAUUCAGGCAGUGAGCAUUCCCGCAGCCGCUCAAGGUCUGGCCGGCGCCAUUCCUCGCAUCGUUCCUCCCGGCGUUCUUACUCAAGUAGCUCAGAUGCCUCUUCAGACCAGAGCUGCUAUAGUAGACAGCGCAGUUACUCUGAUGACAGCUACAGUGACUACAGUGACAGAUCACGAAGGCACUCCAAGCGCUCCCAUGACUCAGAUGACUCAGACUAUGCCAGCUCCAAACACCGAUCAAAACGGCACAAAUAUUCAUCUUCUGAUGAUGACUAUAGCCUCAGUUGCAGCCAGUCCCGAAGCCGAUCUCGGAGUCAUACCAGAGAGCGCUCAAGAUCCCGGGGCCGCAGCCGCAGCAGCAGUUGUAGUCGUAGUCGAAGCAAGCGGAGAAGCCGUAGCACCACAGCCCACAGCUGGCAACGGAGCCGGAGCUAUAGCCGGGACCGCAGCCGCAGCACCAGGAGCCCUUCCCAGAGAUCAGGCUCCAGGAAGGGAUCAUGGGGUCACGAGAGCCCUGAGGAGAGGCAUUCUGGGCGUCGGGACUUCAUUCGUUCUAAGAUCUACCGCUCCCAGUCCCCCCACUAUUUCCGAUCAGGCCGGGGAGAAGGUCCUGGGAAGAAAGAUGAUGGCAGAGGAGAUGACAGUAAAGCAACAGGUCCACCUUCCCAGAACAGCAACAUUGGCACAGGAAGAGGGUCAGAAGGUGACUGCAGUCCUGAAGACAAGAACUCUGUCACUGCCAAACUGCUACUGGAGAAGAUCCAGUCAAGGAAAGUGGAGAGGAAACCUAGUGUGAGUGAGGAGGUGCAGGCCACCCCUAAUAAAGCUGGGCCCAAGCUCAAGGACCCCCCACAAGGUUACUUUGGGCCCAAGCUCCCCCCAUCUCUUGGCAAUAAGCCUGUCCUUCCACUGAUAGGGAAGCUCCCAGCUACCCGAAAGCCCAAUAAGAAGUGUGAAGAGUCUGGCUUGGAAAGGGGGGAAGAGCAAGAACAGUCAGAGACAGAAGAGGGGCCCCCAGGGAGUAGUGAUGCCCUAUUUGCGCAUCAGUUCCCUUCAGAGGAAACAACUGGCCCCUUAUUAGACCCACCCCCAGAAGAGUCAAAGUCUGGAGAAGGUACUGCUGAUCACCCUGUGGCUCCACUAGGCACCCCAGCACAUUCUGACUGCUACCCUGGGGACCCAACCAUCUCCCAUAACUACCUCCCCGACCCCAGUGAUGGGGACACCCUGGAGUCCCUGGAUAGCAGCAGUCAGCCAGGCCCUGUGGAGUCCAGCUUGCUGCCUAUAGCACCAGACCUUGAGCAUUUCCCCAGUUAUGCACCUCCCAGUGGGGAUCCUAGUAUUGAGUCAACAGAUGGGGCUGAGGAUGCUUCACUGGCCCCCCUGGAAAGCCAGCCCAUCACCUUCACCCCUGAGGAGAUGGAGAAGUACAGCAAGCUCCAGCAGGCUGCUCAGCAACACAUCCAGCAGCAGCUUCUGGCCAAGCAAGUAAAGGCCUUUCCAGCCUCAGCUGCCCUGGCCCCAGCCACACCAGCCCUGCAACCCAUCCACAUUCAGCAGCCAGCUACAGCCUCUGCCACCUCCAUCACAACUGUUCAGCAUGCCAUCCUACAACAUCAUGCUGCUGCAGCUGCUGCCGCCAUCGGCAUUCACCCUCACCCCCAUCCCCAACCACUUGCCCAGGUGCAUCAUAUUCCCCAGCCCCAUCUGACCCCCAUUUCUUUGUCCCACCUCACUCACUCAAUCAUCCCUGGCCACCCUGCCACCUUUCUCGCUAGCCAUCCCAUCCACAUCAUUCCCGCCUCAGCCAUCCAUCCUGGGCCCUUCACCUUUCACCCUGUCCCACAUGCUGCCCUCUACCCCACCCUACUUGCUCCACGGCCUGCUGCAGCAGCUGCCACUGCACUCCACCUUCACCCACUACUUCACCCCAUCUUCUCAGGUCAGGACCUGCAACAUCCCCCCAGCCAUGGCACGUGAGUUGGGGGAUGGGAUCCUAGGUAGGGCCAAGGGAGGAGACCCAUAAAUGUUCCCUUGGGGGUGUUGAGCCAUUAAUACCAGCAAGUAGAAGCUGGGAUGGGCAGUGUCUGACAGCCAAAGAAUUGAGUUUUGGCUUGCAGGGGUGGGUUUAGAUUUGAAGUUUGCUUUCAGUUUACUAUCAGGGAUUUCUUUUUCCUGUCCUCCUCUCAAUUUGUCCCUCCCUCUUCUGUGUUUCUAAGCUAGGGAACACCAGUAAGUGCUACCCACCCCUCUGCAGCAACAUCUCCAAACUGUCAAGUUUAGAUAAUCCCCUCCUCCCUCUGCUUUUUUCUCUGCUCUUCCCUUCUAUAAAUUUUAAAACAUUUUCCUCCCCUCUGGCCAGUGGGUUGUCACCAGAGCACUUGCUGUGGGCCCAUCUGGUCUUGCCUUCUCAGCGCCACAGGGAAGGCCAAGCUGUUCUAGUGGUGGAAGUGCCACCACUUUGGGGUAGUAUCUUUGACCAUCUUUGGUGACGUUAUGUUAUCCCAGGUGAGGUGGAAGGCGUCUCACCUGGAACCUGAUAUAACUCAGGCUGCAAUUCCAUCCAGUUCCCACAUCAACGGAGCCACACAUUUGGCACUGUUAUCUUGGUAUCCCUCAUCCCAGAAGAGGCAUCUCCAUAUCCCAGAAAAGAAGAUCCUAUCAUGAAUAAAAGCUGUAUGGAACAUAGAGUUGCCCGUGUACUUUCCCAGAGAGGAGCUCAUGUGUCUGAAGUGAAGGGUAUAUUUUCUUCUGUUGUGUUGAUGUUUCCUUCUUAAUUUAUAGGAUUUUUUUAAUGUAAAAAAUUGCACUGAACUCUAUAAACGUAAAUGCUGCUUUUUGUAGCUCAUAUAAAAAAGGUUCCAUAUUUGUAGUAUACUGCAAUAAUAUUUUUUACAUCCAGCUCUUUAAGUGAUCCUCGUUCUGGUGGCUUUGUGUAAAUAUGUUUGCCCUAGUUGAAUUAAGAAACUCUAAAGGUUAUAAAAUGAAAACAAAAAAAAAUAUUUGUUUUCUGCUAGAUGCAAAACUGACUAAGCAUGUAUAUUUUACCAAACUUAUGUAUUUUUUGAAGUUAUGAACUAUAAAAUGUUAAAACAUUUUUUGCUGGGACAAAAUGUUAAGUAAUUUGCAGUAUGUAGUGCCCCCAGUAUUGGGAUUUUUGAGCUAAUGGGCAGCAGUCAGCUGGGGGCUUCUGAGGGAUGCUCAUCUUUAACAGUCUCCCUCAUGUACUUUUGCUGUUUUACACAGAGAAACAGGUAGACCCCACAGAGGAGAAGGAGGGGAUUCAACAGCUUUAUUGUCUGGAAGCAGUGAGAUUUGGUGAUUGUCUGGGGGGAUUCCUGGGUUUCCCUGGGUACCUUGUUCCAGGCAGUCAGUCCAUUUGCCUUCCUAGUACUUAGCCCCCUCUGACAAUUUUUUUUUUUAAUGUGCCUUUUGGGUUGGUAGAAACUGAAGUAGAAGUAGGCUGGAGGAUGAGUUGGGACAGUCUUCCUUUUGUUGGGAGGUGAGCACAUUUACAGAUAUUUUGCUUCAUAGUUUCCAUGCCCUCUGCCCAGCUCAGUUUAGACAGUAAACGUUCCUUGUUUCUUUUCUCCCAUGACACUGACAAGAGGAAUUACCACCUCAGCCUCUUUUGCCCCUCUUCUUGCCUUUCACCCAGGCUCUCAGCCCUAAUUAACACACUGACCCAAAGGUGCUUGUGUUGCAGGUCCCAUCUCCUUUGAUGAGGUUAACAAUUCCCACUUUGGCAUUUUCCUAACUAUUCGUGUGGCUAGAAUUGGUUGGUUGGUCACUUGACAAGAAAAACCAUACUUACCUGGGCCAAGGCUCUGUUCCUGCCUUCUCAAAUUCUCAAAAGAGUAAAGUUUAUGAAAAGAAAGUGGCAGGCAAACACAACUCUUGACUGCCCUCCCACCCUCUGCCUGUUCAGUACUCAUCUGAUUCAGAAGCAUCACUUCUUGGAUAACUAGCACUGGAAAAAUGAAAUCAUCUGUGUAAGUGAAGGGACUCAUUUUUCUUUGCUUUCAGCCCAUGUAAAUAAAUAAUACAGUAUUAACAUUUUCGUGCUGCUUCCCAUUAGCUUGUAGAUUGAGCCAUACUCUGGCUGCCUCUUUGCCUUCCUAGGGGCAUUUUCUUUAACUUCCAGAAUAGUGAUUUUAAAAGUAAAAAUAAAAACCUUACUUACAAGCAUAACAGAUUGUAUUUAACUUUAUCACAUAUGAUAGAGAUAUCUAUGCUGUAAAAUGAGGGAAAGGAACUUUCUAAUAAACCAAUGAUUUGUGG
rnacentral:sRNA from 1 species